AGAACGAACGCUGGCGGCAUGCCUAACACAUGCAAGUCGAACGCUUUUGGGGCUUCGGUCCCAAAGGAGUGGCGCACGGGUGGGUAGCGCGUGGGAACCUGCCCUGGAGUGGGGGAUAACCGAGGGAAACUUCGGCUAAUACCGCAUACGCCGGGAAACCGGGAAGAUUUAUCGCUCUAGGAGGGGCCCGCGUCGGAUUAGGUAGUUGGUGGGUAACGGCCUACCAAGCCUGUGAUCCGUAGCUGGUCUGAGAGGAUGAUCAGCCACACUGGGACUGAGACACGGCCCAGACUCCUACGGGAGGCAGCAGUGGGGAAUAUUGGACAAUGGGCGCAAGCCUGAUCCAGCAAUGCCGCGUGAGUGAUGAAGGCCUUCGGGUUGUAAAGCUCUUUCGCACGCGAGGAUGAUGACGCUAGCGUGAGAAGAAGCCCCGGCUAACUUCGUGCCAGCAGCCGC
rnacentral:rRNA from 1 species